rnacentral:rRNA from 1 species
AUUGAACGCUGGCGGCAUGCUUUACACAUGCAAGUCGAACGGUAACAGGCCUUCGGGUGCUGACGAGUGGCGAACGGGUGAGUAAUGCAUCGGAACGUACCCAGAGGUGGGGGAUAACGCAGCGAAAGCUGCGCUAAUACCGCAUGUGAUCUGAGGAUGAAAGCGGGGGACCGAGCAGCAAUGUUUGGCCUCGCGCCUUUGGAGCGGCCGAUGUCGGAUUAGCUAGUUGGUGGGGUAAAGGCCUACCAAGGCGACGAUCCGUAGCUGGUCUGAGAGGACGACCAGCCACACUGGGACUGAGACACGGCCCAGACUCCUACGGGAGGCAGCAGUGGGGAAUUUUGGACAAUGGGCGCAAGCCUGAUCCAGCAAUGCCGCGUGCGGGAAGAAGGCCUUCGGGUUGUAAACCGCUUUUGGCAGGAACGAAACGGUGUCCGCUAAUACUGGGCGCUAAUGACGGUACCUGAAGAAUAAGCACCGGCUAACUACGUG